GGAUUGUGGCUCAUUUGGUAGAGCGCUUGCCUAGCACAUAUGAGGCACUGGGUUCGAUCCUCAGUACCA
rnacentral:tRNA from 1 species